rnacentral:rRNA from 1 species
GACGAACGCUGGCGGCGUGCUUAACACAUGCAAGUCGAACGGAAAGGCCCUGCUUUUGUGGGGUGCUCGAGUGGCGAACGGGUGAGUAACACAUGAGUAACCUGCCCUUGACUUUGGGAUAACUUCAGGAAACUGGGGCUAAUACAGGAUAGGAGCUCCUGCUGCAUGGUGGGGGUUGGAAAGUUUCGGCGGUUGGGGAUGGACUCGCGGCUUAUGAGCUUGUUGGGGGGGUAGUGGCUUACCAAGGCUUUGACGGGUAGCCGGCCUGAGAGGGUGACCGGCCACAUUGGGCCUGCGAUACGGCCCAGACUCCUACGGGAGGCAGCAGUGGGGAAUAUUGCACAAUGGGCGGAAGCCUGAUGCAGCAACGCCGCGUGCGGGAUGACGGCCUUCGGGUUGUAAACCGCUUUCGCCUGUGACGAAGCGUGAGUGACGGUAAUGGGUAAAGAAGCACCGGCUAACUACGUG